GACGAACGCUGGCGGCGUGCUUAACACAUGCAAGUCGAACGGAAAGGCCCUGCUUUUGUGGGGUGCUCGAGUGGCGAACGGGUGAGUAACACGUGAGUAACCUGCCCUUGACUUUGGGAUAACUUCAGGAAACUGGGGCUAAUACCGGAUAGGAGCUCCUGCUGCAUGGUGGGGGUUGGAAAGUUUCGGCGGUUGGGGAUGGACUCGGGGCUUAUCAGCUUGUUGGUUGGGUAGUGGCUUACCAAGGCUUUGACGGGUAGCCGGCCUGGGAGGGUGACCGGGCACAUUGGGACUGAGAUACGGCCCAGACUCCUACGGGAGGCAGCAGUGGGGAAUAUUGCACAAUGGGCGGAAGCCUGAUGCAGCAACGCCGCGUGCGGGAUGACGGCCUUCGGGUUGUAACCCGCUUUCGCCUGUGACGAAGCGUGAGUGACGGUAAUGGGUAAAGAAGCACCGGCUAACUACGUG
rnacentral:rRNA from 1 species